GGUGGGGUAAGAGCCCACCGCCCCAAGAGCAAUCGCGGGGGCACGGUAAACCCCAUUGGGAGCAAGACCAAAUAGGGAGCCCGGGGCGGCCCGUCCCAUUGAGGCUCCGGGUUGGGUCGCAACAGAUAAAUGGCCCUCUCCGCAGCCGGCUUGCCGGCCAGCGCAGACAGAAUUCGGCUUACAGCCCGACCGGGAUC
rnacentral:RNase_P_RNA from 1 species